rnacentral:misc_RNA from 1 species
GAGAAUUUGUUUCUCUUCCUUUGUGUCUUGAAAAUUUGUUUCUCUUGAUCCUUCAGUUCUCAUCAGUAUCUCAGUGAAGAUUUUUCGUCUCAUAUGCAGCGAUAUAAUUGUGGAUAAGGAUCUUGUGUCCUUUAUGGAAUUAAACUGAAUUCAUGACACUGUGGCUGAGACAGCCAACUAGUACAUGAAGCAGUUUUCACAUUUCUAUGUUAUGUUACCAGGAAAGCUAUAGAUAGUGAUGUUUUUACCCCAUUCGAGUCUGAGUUUGGCUGUGCACCCAAGCCCCAACAGAUAGCCAAAUUCCUCUGAGGCAUGUAUACUGUAUAUCCG